rnacentral:tRNA from 1 species
ACCCCUGUAGCUUAAUUGGAUAAAGCCCCUUCCGACUAAAUGGGCGAUGCGGGUUCAAAUCCCGCCAGGGGUA